GAAAUACAGAGACCUGCCAAGUGCAUGAUUUUCCUCUAUUGCUUUACCUGCUUCCAGGAAUUAGAAAUUAAUCAAUAUAAAUCUUUGGAUCUGGAAAAUUUCAAGCACAUAUUCAAGAAAUGCAUGGGAUCACAGAAUGUAAAUGAUGAACAAUUAGAAGAACUUUUCAUGAAAAUUGACUAUUCUGCAACUGGCAGAAUUAAGUGGCAUGAUUUCUGCACCUACAUGCAUCUGGAAUAUGCUGAACAGGACAGAUUCUCGAGUCGUCUGAAAAGAGUUGACUUCUCACUUCCAGCGGAAAUAAAGGAGAUCCCACAUGGAGAACCUGUGCUACACAUUUGCUCACUGUCAGACAGCACCCUCAUAACAGCCAGAGAAGAUGGAAAUAUUUCUUUCUGGUCACCAGAACUCAAGCUAAAACGAAGCAAGAUGGUUUUCGAUAAAACUCACAAAAGAUCAAAAUGGCUUAUGGAUUUCACUGUUAUGAUUCCGUACAAUAAAUUAAUACUGGCAACUGGGUAAGUUUCUCACAUACAAUAACAAAAACAAAAACCUUUGUCAAGAUUUCUUUUAUCCACAACUUAACUGAGAAAAGUUCCAUUAUGAAACAGUUUGGAAACUUGGAUGGAAUUCGAGAGACAGGACUAUGACAAAA
rnacentral:lncRNA from 11 species